rnacentral:rRNA from 1 species
GCGCGCAAUUACCCACUCUCAGAACAUUGAGGAGGUAGUGACGAAAAAUAACGAGACCGUUCUCUACGAGGCCGGUCAUCGGAAUGGGUACAAUCUAAACCCUUUAACGAGUAUCUAUGAGAGGGCAAGUCUGGUGCCAGCAGCCGCGGUAAUUCCAGCUCUCAAAAUGCAUAGAAUUAUUGCUGCGGUUAAAAAGCUCGUAGUUGGAUCUGUGCCAGGGAGUCGGUCGUACCUUCGGGUGCGUACUGCUAACCCGGGCUUUACUUGCCGGUUUUCUCCUCGUCGGUCUUAAUCGACUGCGGGGGGUGGCUGGCGAUUUUACUUUGAACAAAUCAGAGUGCUUAACACAGGCGUUUCGCUUGAAUGUUCUUGCAUGGAAUAAUAGAAAAGGAUUUCGGUUCUAUUUUAUUGGUUUUAUAGACUGAGAUAAUGGUUAACAGAGACAAACGGG